rnacentral:rRNA from 1 species
CACGUAGGGGGCGAGCGUUGUCCGGAAUCACUGGGCAUAAAGCGCACGUAGGCGGCCAAGUAAGUCAGGUGUGAAAUACCUCGGCUCAACCGAGGAACUGCGCCUGAUACUGCUUGGCUUGAGGUCCGGAGGGGAGAGUGGAAUUCCCGGUGGAGCGGUGAAAUGCGUAGAGAUCGGGAAGAACGCCGGCGGCGAAAGCGACUCUCUGGUCGGAAUCUGACGCUGAGGUGCGAAAGCUAGGGGAGCGAACAGG